AGGUGAACCUGCGGAAGGAUCAUUCAUAAUCGAGUGUUUUAUGGCACUCUUUAAAAAAUCCAUAUCCACCUUGUGUGCAACGUUUUUGAACUCUCUCUGGCGUUAAAAAACCAAGAGGGUUUGAUUAACUUAACUUAACACCUUUAAAGCAGUUUGUCUGAAUAUCUAUCUCUGAAUAAACAUAAUUCAAAAAUACAACUUUCAACAACGGAUCUCUUGGCUCUCG
rnacentral:misc_RNA from 1 species